GCAUCCAACGCUGCUCCUUGCCGCGUCUAUUCAGUCAGGUAGCGUGUGCCAGGCCAGGCCGGCCCAGAAGCAGAGAAGAGUUGGGCCCCAGGAGCAGGAUCGACCACGGGCCCAGUCACCCCCGCCUCCUGCACGCCGGCUUCCCAAUCCCACCAAUCCCGCAAUCGCUGGCGGCACCAGGGUGCGGCGGCCAGCCGGGCGGUAGCGGCGGCGGCAGCAGCAGCCACAUCAGGUAGCAAGCAUCCAAUCCCCUUUCCAGCUUGUAGAGAGAGAUGCCCACGCGUUUUAUUUGCUCCCGUCCGUGCUAAAUGAUCGACGCAAAUGAUGGCAUAGUAGAUUAGAUAUUUGAGGAAACAUCGUUGGGGCGGCCUUGGCUUGAUGUUACAGGAUGCUGAUUAGCUCUUCCUGGAUAUGCUCUCCUCACGACGCUGGACACGACAGCUCCAAUCAAUUAAUCAGCACUGGCAUUGCAGCGGCACCAUCUUCUCUCCUGUGAUCAUCACUAUUCUAACUAGCUUCCCACAUCCUCAUUUCCUGGAGACUGAAUUGUUAGGAGUUUCAUCCGAGCUAGCGUGAAUUUUCAUGCAGCCAUUCAGGCCCUCUAGCGCUUCAUACUACUCUCAGGCUAUAGAGAUGAAGGGUAUUACCUGAUCAAACGCCUCAAAUAUUUCGAUACUUGGUUGGUGAAUAGUGCACACAACGGUUCGACCUGUGUCUGUAACGUUCUUCACUGCGCGCAUGACAAUAGCAGCUGCCCUUGCAUCCAAGCCUG